UCAGGUUCGUCAAUACCUUCAGCGAUGUUACUGUGGGUAAUGAGAGAAUUACCACCUGCUGAAGCUUCUAGCACAAUGGAAGAAUCGAGUACAUUAGCUUUUGUCGGUGAUAACCCAGUUGUAGUUCAUAAUCCUCAGCGCUGGACUACUGCAACAAGCAUGCAGAAUCAGCCAUUGAGAGUGAGUCCAAUAUAAUCACGUUUUGGCCACUGGGCAUUUGCGAGUGUAUCUUCAUUCUGCCCAAGUUCGGAGGGCUUGUUGGAAUUGCUUCAGAAUAUGUAAAUCCUAACCAGAGUAGAGACAAAAUGAUGCAAGUAGUUGUAUGCUUUCUUAAAAUUUCUUUUUCCCACAGUAUUGGCACUCUAAAUGUAAAUAGCAGAAAAUUAAUUUAUAAAACUUAUUCCUCGUUGAACAAAUUUCGGGAUGUCUGGGAUUUUUGUGCUAUUAAUGGUUGUGAUUUUGUUCAAGUUUAUAA